UGCGGGGUGGAGCAGUUUGGUAGCUCGUCGGGCUCAUAACCCGAAGGUCAUAGGUUCAAAUCCUGUCCCCGCUACCA
rnacentral:tRNA from 4 species